GAAUUUCUUUUACUUUAUUGUUACUCUAUUUUUGUGCUUUAAAAUUGCUUAUAUUCUUUGUCAUUGUAUUUACUUGACUACUUGUCUGGUUUAGUAUUUUGGUUGUAUUUGGUUGCAUCGGGGCUUACACAUACUAAUGAAUACAUGGAAGACAUGUUAGUUCUUAACCUUAACAGAUAGGUGCAUUGGAAGUCAGAAACUUCAGGCAGCUCAACUAAAUUAGACAAAAGGGAAGCUGCUACAAUCUGUUAUGAUACUAAAGAGAAGGAACUUAGCUUUUGGAGCAGCUUUUCUUCCAAUUUCUGUGUUCUAUGAACUUCCACAGGUGGAACUAGGGUUGCCCUGUGGUUCAGUAACUACAUUUGGCACUGUGAGUAGAGUUAAAUUGGUGCAACUAAGGAGGGAGCUGUGAAUUAAAAUGCUGAAGUACAUAAUGGCUGAGGGGAAAGGAGUCUUGAUCAGCUUCUCCUUUGAGUUUAGUGCAGAAAUUUUCUACGAUCUGACUAACGCUAUCCUAUAGCUUAAUAAACACGAUUUGUUUAUCUAGUUGGAGCAUGAAAUUGAAAGGAAGGAUUUGAGGGAAACAAUGAAUGCUGGACCUGUACAUUGCUAGGAAGUUGCAUUUGGUUAAAACAGAACUUAUUGUUGUCUUGUUGAAUUUAUGUGUUAAUAGUACAUGUUAUUUGAUUCAACUUCAGCAGGGACGAAAGAAAUACUAAGUGAUCAAUAUUUUAACCAAGUAAAAGAUGAAAUGUUGAUGAAAACUAAGAAGUAUAUUGCUAGAACGUGAGUUGACAGCUGAUAUAGUAAUAAAGUAAAGUUCUAUAAUGUUUUGGAAACUUUAAGGCAAUUUAUUAUAAUUAAAUAUAUAAGACGGUUGCUAAUCACUUAAUCUUGUCUUCAAGAACAUUUUAAAGACCCUAGAACCUAAGGGGGGUUGGUAUCGCGAAACAAAACUUAAUUUACAAACAACUUAGAGUUUAG
rnacentral:lncRNA from 1 species